AGUGAACGCUGGCGGUAGGCCUAACACAUGCAAGUCGAACGGCAGCACAGUAAGAGCUUGCUCUUACGGGUGGCGAGUGGCGGACGGGUGAGGAAUACAUCGGAAUCUACUUUUUCGUGGGGGAUAACGUAGGGAAACUUACGCUAAUACCGCAUACGACCUACGGGUGAAAGCAGGGGAUCUUCGGACCUUGCGCGAUUGAAUGAGCCGAUGUCGGAUUAGCUAGUUGGCGGGGUAAAGGCCCACCAAGGCGACGAUCCGUAGCUGGUCUGAGAGGAUGAUCAGCCACACUGGAACUGAGACACGGUCCAGACUCCUACGGGAGGCAGGAGUGGGGAAUAUUGGACAAAGGGCGCAAGCCUGAUCCAGCCAUACCGCGUGGGUGAAGAAGGCCUUCGGGUUGUAAAGCCCUUUUGUUGGGAAAGAAAAGCAGCAGGUUAAUACCCCGCUGUUCUGACGGUACCCAAAGAAUAAGCACCGGCUAACUUCGUG
rnacentral:rRNA from 1 species